rnacentral:rRNA from 1 species
AGAAUGAACGCUGGCGGCGCGCCUAAUACAUGCAAGUCGAGCGAGAAGACGUAGCAAUACGUUUGUAAAGCGGCGAACGGGUGAGGAAUACAUGGGUAACCUACCCUCGAGUGGGGAAUAACUAGCCGAAAGGUUAGCUAAUACCGCGUACGCUUCUUGGACUUCGGUUCAGGGAGGAAAGCGAUGCCGAGGGUAUCGCGCUCUUGGAUGGGCUCAUGUCCUAUCAGCUUGUUGGUGAGGUAACGGCUCACCAAGGCUUCGACGGGUAGCUGGUCUGAGAGGACGAUCAGCCACACUGGCACUGCGACACGGGCCAGACUCCGUACGGGAGGCAGCAGUAAGGAAUAUUGCGCAAUGGGACGAAAGCCUGACGCAGCGACGCCGCGUGGGGAUGAAGGUCU